ACAUUCUCACGUGAAUUGUAAAUUAUAGGCACUACAGAGGAUGGCUUGUCGAGGGUGCCUGGAGUGCUUGUUGAAGUUAUUGAACUUCUUCUUGACUCUUGUGGGGCUGACCAUGGUUGGUUAUGGACUCUACUUGUUUGUAGAGUAUAAGAGGGCAGCCAGCGAUACCCCUACAAUUUCACCAGCGAGUGGCGACGAGGAUUUGGUACAGCUGGGUCGGCCCAUGCUUAUGGCUGUGGCUCUUUCAGCUAGUAUUUUGGAUAAUCUGCCAAAAGCUUGGUUCAUAUACCUAUUCAUUGGUAUGGAGUCAUUGUCUUUGUUGUCUCAUGUUUUGGAUGUGUGGAGCUGUUUCACGGAAUGGAUGCUGCUUGUCUUGUUAUUCUGUUUUAAUAAUCUUUUUGAUCUUGGUAGAGCUAGGAUGUGCUGCUUUCAUCUUCUUUGACAAAAGCUGGGAAGAUGAACUUCCGACUGAUAAAACUGGAAACUUUAACAUGAUAUAUAAGUUUCUAAAAGAACACUGGAAGAUAGCCAAAUGGGUUGCUCUUGGAGCUGUAAGGUUU